CUCUGACUCCUGAUCUGUGAUCCCGGACCUGUUACUACUACGCUGAUCUCCAGCCCCGAUGUCUCCAACCACCACCACGACGACUUCCUGCAAUUCUUUGACACCAAAAUCAACAUCAUCCACCAUCAGCUGACCUCAUCCUGCACUUCCAAGUGAUCCACCUUGGAUGGUUACCACCGGCCAACCAUUCACCAGCACCCUGUAACGUUUCUCGCUCACUCUCAUUGAUGCUCUCGACACUCUUCUGGUAAGAUCUGAAGAAAAAAAAAUGUCAUUCUGUAAACGUCUUAGAUGACGUCUGAUUAUUAUCAGAGACAAACUUUAGACUCCUGUCUGUGUGAAAGUGUGUUAAAGACUUUGACGUCAACGCCUCCGUGUUCAAAACCAACAUCAGAGGUAAAGAGGAGGGGGCGGAGGAAUUGUACCUUCAUGUUA